UGAUGUAAAAUCUUACCCAGAAGAUAAUUUAGGUAGGCGUUCUUAAGUAAAGACAUUCUAAGAGGCCUAGCCAAGAAUGGCUGAAAAAAGUGCUUCCUUGCAUGCCUUCUAGAAGGCCUUAUCCAUUUACAAUUCAUGCGA